CCGAUUUGUUGAAGGAGAAAUUCAUCCAUGAACAUUUGAACAUCUUUAUGUGCAUGGUUUCUUUAUUUUAUACCCCAUCUAGAAAUCCCGUGGUUUUGUGGUGGACCAACAGAUUAAUACCCAUGUAGAAAUCCCGAGGUUUGUGGUGGACCAACAGAUUGUACCCAUGCAUAGAAAUCCAGUGGUUUGUGGUGGACCAGCACAGAUUUACCCAUGUAGAAAUCCCGUGGUUUGUGGUGGAUAACAGAUUGUACCCAUGUGGAAAUCCCGUGGUCUGUGGUGGACCAACAGAUUGUACCCAUGUA
rnacentral:lncRNA from 1 species